CCUAGUGAGAUGAACCCGUUCUCACCUUGAUGAUUUUAUAAAUACCUGUGCAAUCAUUUAAGGAUGCUGUUAUAACUUGCUAUCACAGGAUUCAGGUCCAAGAACCCUCUCUUAGGAUCUGCACUGGGACCUACCCCUUUUUGGCAACAUGUUCUUGGCAACCACGAAGGGACUAUCCUGAGGAGAUCCCUGACCCAAAGGAAAUAGACUGCAGAACCAAUUGGCUGACUUUGGCGGGUCAAAGAAUAUGUGAGAUUCCCCACACAUUUAUGCCACAGGAGGAGAAAAGCCUGCCUAGGGGUGUUUUAACUUAUGCCCAGAAGUACCACCUGGAAGAGGCAACGAGACUUUAUUCAUAAGAAUCUAAGUGGAGCAUUCUCCCAGACAACCAGCGGCGGAGCAAGGAGGGGCUGGCCAAACAGUGACGUUGACUGGUGCAUGAGACGAACAGAGGCUCACAGAAGAGCCUCUGAAGAGCCCACAAAAAAUGUCCAUAAGGAGGUGCGACAGGCUUCAAGCCAAGGCUGUCUGACCUGAGACAAACCAAUGAUCACUCUCACACGCAUUAUCUAAAUAAAACUUAUCCACUU
rnacentral:lncRNA from 1 species